CAGCACCUCAAGUGGUCAGGAUGAUUAUUGGGCCUAAAGCAUCCGUAGCCGGCGCUGUAAGUUUUCGGUUAAAUCUGUACGCUCAACGUACAGGCUGCCGGGAAUACUGCAGCGCUAGGGAGUGGGAGAGGUAGACGGUACUCGGUAGGAAGGGUAAAAUCCUUUGAUCUAUUGAUGACCACCUGUGGCGAAGGCGGUCUACCAGAACACGUCCGACGGUGAGGGAUGAAAGCUGGGGGAGCAAACCGGAUUAGAUACCCCAGUAGUCC
rnacentral:rRNA from 1 species